UACGAAUCAGACUGAAUCGGUUAGAGUGGUUCUCGAGUCAACAUCUAACAGGAAACCAAGAACAGCGUCUUUUUCAGUAUGUUUAAUUCGUAAAUGAGCCAAGACGUGAAGAAGAGUAAGCUGAUAGCGAGAGCGCUGGAAAACAGAAACGCUUCAGCCCUGUCAACACGUUUAGUGUCUGACUCAAGACACCAUCCUCAGCUCACCGACCCAUUUCAGCAGCAAAAUGAAGACGUCCACCCAGCCUCAUCUGAUCACCCCUCCUCUCUGGCCAGCCUUGACCCUCUGCGUCAGGGGAAUGGAGUGCUUCCCCUUGGCCUGUCUCAGCAGGGUUACUGCGCUGCUGUGCUGCAGGGCGCUGUGUGGGAAGCCGUCAGCCCUCUCACUCUCACACGCACCUCACGGCUCUUCCCAUUCAACAUUUCCUCCUGCUGCCGGCCUGCCAUCGCGCUCACACAUGGCUUUUUUGUUUUUUUGUUUUGCUGGUUUUGUUCUGUUUUCUUUUUUCUUCUCUCCCUCUCUCCUUCUCUCUCCUCUGGGAUCGGCAGAAGAAUAGGGGGACAGUAAACCU